UACGUAGGGUGCGAGCGUUGUCCGGAAUUACUGGGCGUAAAGAGCUCGUAGGUGGUUUGUCGCGUUGUUCGUGAAAACUCACAGCUUAACUGUGGGCGUGCGGGCGAUACGGGCAGACUGGAGUACUGCAGGGGAGACUGGAAUUCCUGGUGUAGCGGUGGAAUGCGCAGAUAUCAGGAGGAACACCCGUGGCUAAGGCGGCUCUCUAGUACGGUACUGACGCUGAAGGCGCGGAAAGCGUGGGGAGCAAACGGG
rnacentral:rRNA from 1 species